rnacentral:rRNA from 1 species
UACCGGCACCCCGAGUGGUCGGGACGUUUAUUGGGCCUAAAGCAUCCGUAGCCGGUUCUACAAGUCUUCCGUUAAAUCCACCUGCUUAACAGAUGGGCUGCGGAAGAUACUAUAGAGCUAGGAGGCGGGAGAGGCAAGCGGUACUCGAUGGGUAGGGGUAAAAUCCGUUGAUCCAUUGAAGACCCCCAGUGGCGAAGGCGGCUUGCCAGAACGCGCUCGACGGUGAGUGAUGAAAGCUGGGGGAGCAAACCGG